rnacentral:rRNA from 1 species
AUUGAACGCUGGCGGCAGGCCUAACACAUGCAAGUCGAGCGAGCGGCGGACGGGUGAGUAAUGUAUGGGGAUCUGCCCGGUGGAUGGGGAUCACUACUGGGAACUAUGACUAAUACCGCAUACUAUCGGCUGAGCCCAUAUGGGAUUAGCUAGUAGGUGGGGUAAAGGCUCACCUAGGCGACGAUCUCUAGCUGGUCUGAGAGGAUGAUCAGCCACACUGGGACUGAGACACGGCCCAGACUCCUACGGGAGGCAGCAGUGGGGAAUAUUGCACAAUGGGCGCAAGCCUGAUGCAGCCAUGCCGCGUGUAUGAAGAAGGCCUUAGGGUUGUAAAGUACUUUCAGCGGGGAGGCGUUACCCGCAGAAGAAGCACCGGCUAACUCCGUGCCAGCAGCCGCGGUAAUUC